rnacentral:rRNA from 1 species
GCGGUAUCCUAACCGUGCAAAGGUAGCGCAAUCACUUGUCCCCUAAAUAGGGACCAGUAUGAACGGCUAAAUGAGGGUACAACUGUCUCCUACGGCCAAUCAAUGAAACUGAUCACCCAGUACAAAAGCUGGGAUAAACACACAAGACGAGAAGACCCUGUGGAACUUUAAAUACCACCACUAACCACCAAAGUGAAAUAGUGGAUCUUUUAAGUUGGGGCGACUACGGAGUAAAACAAAACCUCCACGACAAUAGGGCCCAACCCCCCAAAGGACAACACACCAACAGGAACCACACAAAUGACCCAGACAACUGAGUACCGAACCAAGUUACCCCAGGGAUAACAGCGCCAUCCCCCUCAAGAGUCCAUAUCGCCAGGGGGGCUUACGACCUCGAUGUUGGAUCAGGACACCCAAGUGGUGCAGUCGCUACUAAAGGUCCGUUUGUUCAACGGCUAACGUCCUACGUGAUCUGAG